UACGUAGGGGGCAAGCGUUAUCCGGAAUUACUGGGUGUAAAGGGUGAGUAGGCGGCAUGGUAAGCCAGAUGUGAAAGCCUUGGGCUUAACCCGAGGAUUGCAUUUGGAACUAUCAAGCUAGAGUACAGGAGAGGAAAGCGGAAUUCCUAGUGUAGCGGUGAAAUGCGUAGAUAUUAGGAGGAACACCAGUGGCGAAGGCGGCCUGCUGGACGAUGACUGACGUUGAGGCUCGAAAGCGUGGGGAGCAAACAGG
rnacentral:rRNA from 2 species